GACGAACGCUGGCGGCGUGCUUAACACAUGCAAGUCGAACGGUGAAGGGAUCAGCUUGCUGGUUCUGGAUGAGUGGCGAACGGGUGAGUAACACGUGAGUAACCUGCCCCCUUCUUCUGGAUAACCGCAUGAAAGUGUGGCUAAUACGGGAUAUUCUGGGUCUGUCGCAUGAUGGGUCUGGGAAAGAUAUUGUUUCGGUGGGGGAUGGGCUCGCGGCCUAUCAGCUUGUUGGUGGGGUGAUGGCCUACCAAGGCGGUGACGGGUAGCCGGCCUGAGAGGGUGGACGGUCACACUGGGACGGAGACACGGCCCAGACUCCUACGGGAGGCAGCAGUGGGGAAUAGUGCACAAUGGGCGCAAGCCUGAUGCAGCGACGCCGCGUGAGGGAUGGAGGCCUUCGGGUUGUAAACCUCUUUCGCCAGUGAAGCAGGCCUGCUCCUUGUGGGUGGGUUGACGGUAGCUGGAUAAGAAGCGCCGGCUAACUACGUG
rnacentral:rRNA from 1 species